GCAUGGCUGUCGUCAGCUCGUGUUGUGAAAUGUUGGGUUAAGUCCCGCAACGAGCGCAACCCUUAUCCUUUGUUGCCAGCGGUCCGGCCGGGAACUCAAAGGAGACUGCCAGUGAUAAACUGGAGGAAGGUGGGGAUGACGUCAAGUCAUCAUGGCCCUUACGACCAGGGCUACACACGUGCUACAAUGGCGCAUACAAAGAGAAGCGACCUCGCGAGAGCAAGCGAACCUCAUAAAGUGCGUCGUAGUCCGGAUUGGAGUCUGCAACUCGACUCCAUGAAGUCGGAAUCGCUAGUAAUCGUGGAUCAGAAUGCCACGGUGAAUACGUUCCCGGGCCUUGUACACACCGCCCGUCACACCAUGGGAGUGGGUUGCAAAAGAAGUAGGUAGCUUAACCUUCGGGAGGGCGCUUACCACUUUGUGAUUCAUGACUGGGGUGAAGUCGUAACAAGGUAACCGUAGGGGAACCUGCGGUUGGAUCACCUCCUUACCUUAAAGAAGC
rnacentral:rRNA from 1 species